rnacentral:lncRNA from 13 species
GAAGGGAGCAUCCACCGGAAGAGACGGAGGAUCAUCUUGUACUACUCUGCUCAGUACCUGUAAUAUAUCCACUAAUGCAGCAUAAUCAUCAGGAGAAUCACUAGGGACGGAAGUCACGAUACCAGUACCUUUGUCUUCUUGUAUUGUCAACAUAGGGCACGUAUAUAUCACUUUAUUAGACGUGAGAGGAGCUUCCAAUUCCAGCCUUAAAAUCACUAUUUCUAUUCAUGUUUGUGUCUACAGCAGCUUACAGCAGCAAGGACAAUAUUUCUUCCAGC